GACGUAGGGCGCGAGCGUUGUCCGGAUUUAUUGGGCGUAAAGAGCUCGUAGGCGGUUCAUUGCGUCAAUCGUGAAAUCCUGUGGCUCAACCUCGAACUUGCGGUGGGUACGGGCAGACUAGAGUGUGGUAGGGGAGACUGGAAUUCCUGGUGUAGCGGUGAAAUGCGCAGAUAUCAGGAGGAACACCGAUGGCGAAGGCAGGUCCCUGGGCCACUACUGACGCUGAGAAGCGAAAGCAUGGGGAGCGAACAGG
rnacentral:rRNA from 1 species